rnacentral:rRNA from 1 species
GACGAACGCUGGCGGCGUGCCUAAUACAUGCAAGUAGAACGCUGAAGGAGGAGCUUGCUUCUCUGGAUGAGUUGCGAACGGGUGAGUAGCGCGUAGGUAACCUGCCUGGUAGCGGGGGAUAACUAUUGGAAACGAUAGCUAAUACCGCAUAAUAGUAGAUGUUGCAUGACAUUUGCUUAAAAGGUGCAAUUGCAUCACUACCAGAUGGACCUGCGUUGUAUUAGCUAGUUGGUGAGGUAACGGCUCACCAAGGCAACGAUACAUAGCCGACCUGAGAGGGUGGUCGGCCACACUGGGACUGAGACACGGCCCAGACUCCUACGGGAGGCAGCAGGAGGGAAUCUUCGGCAAUGGACGGAAGUCUGACCGAGCAACGCCGCGUGAGUGAAGAAGGUUUUCGGAUCGUAAAGCUCUGUUGUAAGAGAAGAACGAGUGUGAGAGUGGAAAGUUCACACUGUGACGGUAUCUUACCAGAAAGGGACGGCUAACUACGUG